UCUUCGGACCUUGCGUUAUUAGAGCGGCCGAUAUCUGAUUAGCUUGUUGGUAGGGUAAAAGCCUACCAAGGUGACGAUCAGUAGCUGGUCUGAGAGGACGAUCAGCCACACUGGAACUGAGACACGGUCCAGACUCCUACGGGAGGCAGCAGUGGGGAAUUUUGGACAAUGGGGGCAACCCUGAUCCAGCCAUGCCGCGUGUGUGAAGAAGGCCUUCGGGUUGUAAAGCUCUUUCGCAAGAGAAGAAAGCUUGCUAUCUAAUAAAUAGUAAGUAUGACGGUAUCUUGACAAGAAGCACCGGCUAACUACGUGCCAGCAGCCGCGGUAAUACGUAGGGUGCAAGCGUUAAUCGGAAUUACUGGGCGUAAAGCGUGCGCAGGCAGUUUUAUAAGUCAGAUGUGAAAUCCCCGAGCUCAACUUGGGAACUGCGUUUGAAACUGUAAGACUAGAGUGUGUCAGAGGGGGGUAGAAUUCCACGUGUAGCAGUGAAAUGCGUAGAUAUGUGGAGGAACACCGAUGGCGAAAGCAAUUGGCUGGGCCAUUUCUGACGCUGAGGCGCGAAAGCUAGGGGAGCGAACGGGAUUAGAUACCCCGGUAGUCCUAGCCGUAAACGAUGGGUACUGGGCAAUGGACCUACCUAUGUGGUUCAUUGCUGUAGCUAAUGUGUUAAGUACCCCGCCUGGGGAGUACGCUCGCAAGGGUAAAACUCAAAUGAAUUGACGGGGGAUCACACAAGCGGUGGAGCAUGUGGUUUAAUUCGAAGCAACGCGAAGAACCUUACCUAGCCUUGACAUCUAUGGAUUAGUUCUGUGAAAGCAGAAUGACGGCCCUUCGGGGUUGGAACAUAGACAGGUGUUGCAUGGCUGUCGUCAGCUCGUGUCGUGAGAUGUCGGGUUAAGUCCCAUAACGAGCGAAACCCUUGUCGUUAGUUGCCAGCGGGUAAUGCCGGGGACUCUAGCGAGACUGCCGUUGUUAAAACGGAGGAAGGUGGGGACGACGUCAAGUCAUCAUGGCCCUUACGCCUAGGGCUACACACGUGCUACAAUGGUCCAUACAAAGGGUUGCUAAGUCGCAAGACCAUGCUAAUCCCAUAAAGUGGGCCUCAGUUCGGAUUGGAGUCUGCAAUUCGACUCCAUGAAGCUGGAAUCGCUAGUAAUCGCGUAUCAGCAAUGACGCGGUGAAUAUGUUCCUGAUCCUUGUACAC
rnacentral:rRNA from 1 species